rnacentral:rRNA from 1 species
CCUGUAGGUCUUAACAGGGUACCCGUAAGUCGUACCGGGACCCCGUAGAUUUUCUUCGGGCUGCCGGCUAGUGGUUACCGGGUGAGUAAUGCUUCGGAACGUGCCCAGUCAUGGGGGAUAACUACGCGAAAGCGUAGCUAAUACCGCAUACGCCCUGAGGGGGAAAGUGGGGGAUCUUCGGACCUCACGUGAUUGGAGCGGCCGAUGUCAGAUUAGCUAGUUGGUGAGGUAAAGGCUCACCAAGGCGACGAUCUGUAGCGGGUCUGAGAGGAUGAUCCGCCACACUGGGACUGAGACACGGCCCAGACUCCUACGGGAGGCAGCAGUGGGGAAUUUUGGACAAUGGGCGCAAGCCUGAUCCAGCCAUGCCGCGUGAGUGAAGAAGGCCUUCGGGUUGUAAAGCUCUUUCGCAAGGGAAGAAAACGUGUGGGCUAAUAUCCUGCGCGGAUGACGGUACCUUGACAAGAAGCACCGGCUAACUACGUGCCAGCAGCCGCGGUAAUACGUAGGGUGCGAGCGUUAAUCGGAAUUACUGGGCGUAAAGCGUGCGCAGGCGGUUGUGUAAAACAGGAGUGAAU